rnacentral:rRNA from 1 species
CCUACGGGUGGCUGCAGUCGAGAAUUUUUGGCAAUGGGCGAAAGCCUGACCAAGCGAUGCCGCGUGCGGGAUGAAGGCCUUCGGGUUGUAAACCGCUGUCAGUGGGGAGGAAAGCUUUGUGAAGAGCAAGGCUUGACCUAUCCGCAGAGGAAGUGUGGGCUAAGUUCGUGCCAGCAGCCGCGGUAAGACGAACCACACAAAGGAUAUUCGGAGUUAAAGGGCUGCAUGGGUGCGGAGGCUGCGCGGGAGUGAAAUACCUCGGCGCAACCGAGGAACUGCGCCCAAAACUACUGUGCUUGAGGAAGAUAGAGGUAAGCGGAACUUACGGUGGAGCGGUGAAAUGCGUUGAUAUCGUAAGGAACACCUGUGGCGAAAGCGGCUUACUGGGUCUUUUCUGACGCUGAUGCACGAAAGCUAGGGGAGCAAACGGGAUUAGAUACCCUGGUAGUC